GGCAACGAUAGCGCGGUGGUCCCACCUGACCCCAUGCCGAACUCAGAAGUGAAACGCCGUAGCGCCGAUGGUAGUGUGGGGUCUCCCCAUGUGAGAGUAGGGCAUUGCCAGGC
rnacentral:rRNA from 1 species